UACGUUGGGUGCGAGCGUUAAUCGGAAUUACUGGGCGUAAAGCGUGCGCAGGCGGUUCGCUAAGACCGAUGUGAAAUCCCCGGGCUUAACCUGGGAACUGCAUUGGUGACUGGCGGGCUAGAGUAUGGCAGAGGGGGGUAGAAUUCCACGUGUAGCAGUGAAAUGCGUAGAGAUGUGGAGGAAUACCGAUGGCGAAGGCAGCCCCCUGGGCCAAUACUGACGCUCAUGCACGAAAGCGUGGGGAGCAAACAGG
rnacentral:rRNA from 1 species